CAGAAAUGAAACAACGAAGGUAUGUCUGAAGCCCCCUAUUCAACACCUCUGUUUGGCCAUCUGUUUCAGGGUGAUAAGCAGUACUCAUCCUCAACUGAGUGCCCUGAAGACGAAAAAGUUCAGACUAGAAAAGGCUAAGAAAGAUGGGGUCGCGAUCACUUACUAUUGACCGAGGCAUGCCGUGGAGUUUGACUAUUUCUUUAGCAAACACGUCAGCCACGGUGCGAGCAGUAUAAGGAUGCUUUAACCCAAUAAAAUGGCCAUAUUUAGAAAAAUGAUCUACCACGACUAGAAUUGCAUCCAUUCCGAAUGAGCGAGGUAAACCAGUAAUGAAAUCCAAGGAGAUGUCUUCCCAUACUCGAUUAGGAAUUGGCAGAGGUUGUAACAACUCUGCUGGAGAUGAAGCUUUAUAUUUAUGUUUCUGACAUAUCAAACAUUCUGCCACAAAUUGUUGAAUUCGUUUCAUCAUGCCUGGCCAAUAAAAGUUUGAAGCAAGUCUUUUGUAAGUUCUGAAUGCUCCAGAAUGCCCUCCAGUUGGAGUACAAUGAAACUCAGUCAGAAACUUAGGUAUCCAUUCUGAUGAUGCAGGUAAGACAAUACGUCCCUUGUAGAAGAGAUGAUUCUGAAUUAAAGAGUAAUGUUUGUGAGAAUGAGGAUGAGUUUGAAGGUCUUGCAUAAUUUUUUUAAGUUGAGGAUUAAGAGCAAUUUCCUUCGCAAGCUGAGACCAAUCUAUCCACUGUGGAAGAGAAAUAACCUGCAAUUCUAGUUCCCCAUCCCGCCUAGAUAGAGAAUCCGCUGCUGCAUUUGUAUUUCCAGGUUUAAAAGCAAUUUUAAAAUCAUAACCCAUCAACUUUGCACCCCAAAAUUGUUGUGUAGGAGUAUGCAAUUGCUGUUCUACUAGAUGCCGUAGGCUACACUGGUCUGUGUGGACUAAAAAUUUUCUGCCCAAAAGAUAAGGGCGCCAAUGCUGUACUGCCAAGGUUAAAGCCAUCAUUUCCCUUUCAUAUGUUGAUUUAGAGAGGUUUUGAGCAGAUAAAGCUUUGCUAAAAAAAGCAAUAGGCCUCCGAUCUUGAGUCAAAACAGCGCCUAAACCUGUUCUAGAAGCAUCGCGUUCUAGAACAAAUGUUUUAGAAAAAUUCAGAGUAGCCAAAACCGG
rnacentral:misc_RNA from 1 species